UACGGAGGGUGCAAACGUUGCUCGGAAUUAUUGGGCGUAAAGCGAGUGUAGGCGGCUAUUUAAGUUGAGUGUGAAAGCCCUGGGCUUAACCCAGGAAGUGCGCUCAAUACUGGAUAGCUAGAGUACGGGAGAGGGUAGCGGAAUUCCCGGUGUAGAGGUGAAAUUCGUAGAUAUCGGGAGGAACACCAGUGGCGAAGGCGGCUACCUGGACCGAUACUGACGCUGAGACUCGAAAGCGUGGGGAGCAAACAGG
rnacentral:rRNA from 1 species